GAAAAACGAACUCUGAUGCAUCAAUUUUCCAGCAUUUCACUUAGGCCUUUCAUCAAACACUUUUGGCCAAUUUCAAUUUGAGUCGAAUUGAUCAUUUUUGCAACUUGCACUUGUUUCUUGCUUUUUAAAUCCAUUCUAGAACUAUUCUUAGGAUCCUUUUGAAGUGCUACUUUGCUUGCUACCGCUUAAUUUCUUGCUGUCAUUGUUCUUGAAACUCUUGCACACAACCUGUUUGAUAAAAGGGUUGUUCUGUACUGGUUUUGGGUGCGAAUUUUUGGCAGCUGUGAGCUGAUUUGUAGCACUGAUUCACGUUGAUUGAAUAGGUGUGGUAUAGCUCAGACUACUCCUCACUCAAGGAAGCAUCAAAGGAAGUUCACUGCUUGAGAAAAUAAGGCCCAAGGUGGACUCUCG
rnacentral:lncRNA from 1 species